rnacentral:lncRNA from 10 species
AUGUAUUUCUCAGUUCUGGAGGCCGGAAGUCCAAUAGCAAGGUGCCAGCAUCUGGUGAGGGGCUUCUUGCUGUGUUAUCCCAUGGUGAAAGGAGGAAGCACAAGCUAACAUGAGAGACAGACAGCAAGAGAAAAGGGGGGUCCACUACUGCGAUAAGGGUAUUAAUCCAUUCACGAGGGCAGAGUUCUCAUGACCUGAUCAUCUCUUAAAGUUCUCACCUUGCAACACUGUUGCAAUGGCAAUUAAAUUUUAGCAUGAGCUUUGGAGGGGACAUUCAAACCACAGCAAAUGCUUAUCUCAGGUGUGGUGCUUAGCAGGCACACAAUAUACUCGUAGUGAUGAUUAUCUGUUCACGCAAGCUUGUGUUGGAAUAAUUAAGGUAUUUGACUUCUCCGUCCUCCAGAGGAGGUUCAUAGUGACAUACAUGGUAACAAAUAUGUAUCAUAGGUGCUGUAACUACAUAAAACAAAGGCACAUGGGUCUGGGCAGCUAGGAUAGAUAAUUCCAGCCUCAUCUACAUCUACUCUUCACGCAGAGGAGACAUCCUGGCACCUCCAUGCCUUUGUGCUGGUAGGAUUUUCCUCGCUGUAUUCAUUUCCUAGGGCUGUCAUGACGGAAUGUUACACACUAGGUACCUUAAAAUAACAGAUGUUUAUCAUUUCACUGUUCUGAAGGCCACAAGUCCAAAAUCAAGGUGUUGGCAGAGUUGAUUCCUUCUGGAGGCUCUAGUAGAGAAUCAGUUCUCUGCUGUCUCUCUUUUCAAUUUCUUUUCUCAUUUCUCUUAUUUCUAUAUGCAUUAAGACUCAAUCUGGCUUAAUGCCAAAGGGUAUUUAUGAACUCAAGUAACUGCAAAGUCCAGGAGAUCGUGGUGGCUUCAGGUGCAGCUGGACCCAGGGGCUCAAAUGAUAUUUUCAGGCAUCUGCUCUCCCACCAUCUCUUGGCUCUGCUCUUCCCUUAUUGGCUUCCAGAGGCUCACAAUCUUGGUGGCUUAUGACUCAUCUGAGGAGCUUGGAAUGCUCCAAUUUCAGGCCGGCAGGAAUUCAGCAGUCAGGGAGGUCUGUCUUCUGCCUCCAAGCUAAUGGCCUUUACCUUUCAAAAC